AAAAAGGCAAACCCUGGGUUUCCGUGUCCAACUUUGACUGUCCGUCUUAUAUGAAAUUUUUUUAUAAUUCGUAUUUUUAUUGUUGUUAGAUGAUAAAACAUGAUUAAUAUUUUAUGCGUGACUUGUCUUUUUAUUUUUUUUUUCAUAAACUUUUUAAAUAAGACGGACGGUUAAGUGUCAAGUGAGUGCAUUGUCGAAUCGUAAC
rfam:Oryza barthii chromosome 10, whole genome shotgun sequence.